CAGGUCGGAAAAUUUUAAAAUAAAAAAUAAUUAUAAUAAAGUAACCGACCUCACAUGGUGGGCAAAUCAAAUUAAUAUCACACUACUUUUCCCAUCAUCUCAUUUCACACUCCAUUCUCUCCUCUCUCUCUACUCGAUUUCAGCCAUAGCUCAUCGCCGCUGACUACCCAUCACCCAUAUCCGCCGUCCCCAGCCCAGUUUCCGCCGUCGCCGUUCACUGUCCAACCGACAAUACACCAUUUGAGUUCUGAGAAAUUACCAACGGACGAUGGCUGAUUCAUUUAAUUUAUAUCAAGUUAUUACUUAUUGAGAAAUUAUGAGGCAUUCAGAAUCACUUACGCGAAGAAGAAGAAGAAGAGGAGUAGUGAAUAACCCGAUGAAUGGGUUGAGGAACAGGCUAGGCAGACCUAAGUAAAUUUAAUUUAAUGUCUUUUUCUAAAACUGAAGCUCCUACGUUUCAUGUGCUUUUUAUCAAGCCCGGAUUUUGCCCUCUGGUAAUCUUUCUCACUUUAUUUUAUUUUGUAUAAUAUUAGCCUAAAAUGAGCUCUGUAUGAUGGUAUUUGAGGAUUUCAACGGACAGUCAGAGAAUGAUGCAUGUCUAACUAAAUCCAGUAUUUUUCACACGAAUAUAUGUGAAAUCAGUAAAAUUUCAAACAAGUACUAAAGUGCUUUUAUGUUUUAAGUGCCAUGAUGGAAUUCACAGGUUGCUGCUGGUUCUAUUAGAAUCUUUAUAUAUACAUGUUAGGGACUAUAAUGCUUAGGCCUCAAUUCUAAUUGGUGCCACAAUUCUAGGGCCUACAUGUUAGGGUCUGUGGCUUUUGUCUAUUGAAAAGACAAAUAUGCAGCUGUUAAAUGCAGUGGAAAUAGCUAGAAUGUCCAUGAAGGGACCAAAUUACCUAGGUGCAGAAAUAGCACUUAGAACAGUUACAUGGUUUGUGUAUGCAGCGAUCUCAUGUUCCUUGGGACUUUUUGCUGGUAUUAUGUCCGGUUUAACAUUGGGUCUCGUGUCUUUUGUUCUUGUUGAGCUUGAGAUCCUUCAACGUAGUGGCACCCCUGUUGAGAAAAAACAAGCAGGUUUCUCGAAGCAUCAAUCUCAUUAUAGGCCACAAAGUCUCAAUCUAAUUUACUCUCUAUGUCGCAAGUUAGUUAUUUACUGAAUAAUUGAAAAUAGAUGAAUAAAAUCACUUAUUCUUCUUUUGCA